CUAAGGUAGCGAAAUUCCUUGUCGGGUAAGUUCCGACCCGCACGAAAGGCGUAACGAUUUGGGCACUGUCUCAACAACAGACUCGGUGAAAUUGUAAUACCGGUGAAGAUGCCGGUUACCUGCGACAGGACGGAAAGACCCCAUGGAGCUUUACUGUAGCUUGACAUUGAGUCUCGGUGCUACAUGUACAGGAUAGGUGGGAGACUAUGAAGCAUGGACGUCAGUCUGUGUGGAGUCAUCCUUGGGAUACCACCCUUGUAGUACUGGGAUUCUAACCAGAGGCCAUGAAUCUGGUCUUGGGACACUGUCAGGUGGACAGUUUGACUGGGGCGGUCGCCUCCCAAAAAGUAACGGAGGCGCUCAAAGGUUCUCUCAGUACGGUCGGAAAUCGUACGAAGAGUGUAAAGGCAAAAGAGAGCUUGAUUGCAAGACAUACAGGUCGAGCAAGGACGAAAGUCGGACUUAGUGAUCCGGUGGUUCCGCAUGGAAGGGCCAUCGCUCAACGGAUAAAAGCUACCCUGGGGAUAACAGGCUUAUCUCCCCCAAGAGUUCACAUCGACGGGGAGGUUUGGCACCUCGAUGUCGGCUCAUCGCAUCCUGGAGCUGAAGUCGGUUCCAAGGGUUGGGCUGUUCGCCCAUUAAAGUGGUACGCGAGCUGGGUUCAGAACGUCGUGAGACAGUUCGGUCCCUAUCCGUCGCAGGCGUAGGAAAUUUGAGGAGACCUGUCCUUAGUACGAGAGGACCGGGAUGGACGUACCGCUGGUGUACCAGUUGUUCUGCCAAGGGCAUGGCUGGGUAGCUAAGUACGGAAAGGAUAAGCGCUGAAAGCAUCUAAGCGCGAAGCCCACUUCAAGAUAAGAUUUCCCACCGCAAGGUUAAGAUCCCAGGAAGACUACCUGGUUGAUAGGUCAGAGGUGUAAGUGCAGUAAUGUAUUUAGCUUACUGAUACUAAUAGAUCGAGGACUUGACCAA
rnacentral:rRNA from 1 species